rnacentral:rRNA from 1 species
AUGAUGCAACAAAUCUGGUCCGUUGAUCAAGCACAAGCUCUAGCCUUAAAGGCCGAGAGGUUUGUGAGGGUGAGAAAGACAACUAAGGCUCCAUAUCCUCCAUAUCCUCAUACCGAAGGCUCAUCUAGGAGCCAACCUAAUAGAGUGGAAGAAAAGACCACUCCACCAAAGACAAAACAGCCCAUCCCGAAGCAAACUAGAGGCAAGGGUAAGGCAAAUGAAGGCCCAAAGUGCUAUAAAUGUGGUAAAGAGGGACACAUAUCCAGCGGCUGCCCACUAAGGAAAUUUGUUAACACGACUAUCCAUGAUGGUGAAAGCGAUGAGGAAGAAUACGAAUCUGAAGAUGUAGACGAACAAGAGGUUUGUCAAGAAGAAGGUGAAGAGGUGGUAUGUGUGAUCCAGCGUGUCCUAUGUUCCACACCACAACUCGAUGACACACAACGGAAGAAAAUAUUUGAGAGCAAAUGCACGGUGAAUGGCAAGGUAUGCAAACUAGUGAUUGAUAGUUGCAGCUGCGAGAAUCUUAUCUCCCAGAAGUUGGUGGACCAUUUAAAGCUUGAAACCCAUGAUCAUCCAAAUCCCUACACUAUUGGAUGGAUCAAGAAAGGAGUGAAUAUGAGGAUCACCAAACAAUGCAACCUGCCACUUUCUUUGGGUAAGCAUUAUCGCUCAAAUGUGUUGUGUGAUGUGGUUGACAUGGAUGCCAGCCAUGUUCUUCUUGGGAGGCCUUGGCAAUUUGAUGUGGAUACUACACACAAGGGCAAGGAAAAUUAUUACUCUUUCAUUUGGAACAAGAGAAGGAUCAUUAUCUUACCAAACAAACCCGAAGGUAAUACCUCUAAUGAGGAGGGGAAAACUAUGUUAACUAUCUCCCAUACCUCUCAUGGGUUUAUGGAAGGCUUGAAGGAGGCAGAUUUGCGUGCUGCACUUGUUGUAAAGGGAGAAGAGCACCUGACUGUUGAAAUUCCAGCAAAGGUACGUGGUUUAUUGGCAGAAUUUCAGAACAUACUUGGGGAGCCACAUGGCUUGCCACCGAUGAGAGGAAUUCAACAUAGAAUUGACUUAAUUCCGGGAGCAAGUCUUCCUAAUCUUCCACACUAUUGA